rnacentral:pre_miRNA from 1 species
UCAAAAUUCAAAUGAUUUUGUGUCGUUGGUUCAUCAAUUCAAAAUUUUCAAUAUGCCAUUUUCACAAACUCUGGUAAUCGAUUACCAAAGAAUUUGUGAAAAUGACAUAUUGAAAAUUUUGAACUGAUGAACUAACGGCACAACAUUAUUUGAAUUUUGA